rnacentral:rRNA from 1 species
UACGAAGGGGGCUAGCGUUGCUCGGAAUCACUGGGCGUAAAGCGCACGUAGGCGGCUUUCUAAGUCAGGGGUGAAAUCCUGGAGCUCAACUCCAGAACUGCCUUUGAUACUGGAGAGCUUGAGUCCGGGAGAGGUGAGUGGAACUCCGAGUGUAGAGGUGAAAUUCGUAGAUAUUCGGAAGAACACCGGUGGCGAAGGCGGCGCUCUGGACCGAGACUGACGCUGAGGCGCGAAAGCGUGGGGAGCAAACAGG